rnacentral:rRNA from 1 species
UACAGAGGUCUCAAGCGUUGUUCGGAUUCAUUGGGCGUAAAGGGUGCGUAGGCGGCGCGGUAAGUCGGGUGUGAAAUCUCGGAGCUUAACUCCGAAACUGCAUUCGAUACUGCCGUGCUUGAGGACUGGAGAGGAGACUGGAAUUUACGGUGUAGCGGUGAAAUGCGUAGAUAUCGUAAGGAAGACCAGUGGCGAAGGCGGGUCUCUGGGCCAUUACUGACGCUGGAGGAGCGAAAGCGUGGGGAGCGAACAGG